AUACUUACCUGUCAGGGGAGAUACCAUGAUCUUGAAGGUGGUUUUCCCAGGGCGAGGCGUAUCCAUUGCACUCUGGAUGUGCUGAUCCCUGCGAUUUCCCCAAAUGAGGGAAACUCGACUGCAUAAUUUGUGGUAGUCCGGGACUGCGUUUGUGCUCUCCCCUG
rnacentral:snRNA from 1 species